UCGGCAAUAUCCAAGAUGACACAGGAACGUCAUAGUAAUUACAAAUUUUAAAGAUUAAUUUAUGCUUUUAAGAAUGUAAAAAAUGUACAGCUGAUUACAAUUGAUAAAUAGGCUUAUAAUUUCACAGAUGUGCAAAGACAAUUUGGUGUGGAAUAUUCUGCAUUCAACGAAAUAGAUCAUUUUGCAAGAGCUGCAAUAGUCGACGUCUGCGGAGAAGAAUUUUUGGAGCUUAUAACUCAGCCAGGAUUUGGUCCGUCGCAACCAGAGGGAAACGUCAUCCAAGAGAUCCAUCGUGUGGAAAACGUCAUCCAA